rnacentral:rRNA from 1 species
AACGAACGCUGGCGGCAGGCCUAACACAUGCAAGUCGAACGCUCCGCAAGGGGGAGUGGCGCACGGGUGAGUAACACGUGGGAACCUACCUUCUGGUACGGAACAACCAAGGGAAACUUUGGCUAAGACCGUACACGACCUCCGGGUGAAAGAUUGAUCGCCGGAAGAGGGGCCCGCGUCCGAUUAGGUAGUUGGUGAGGUAACGGCUCACCAAGCCUUCGAUCGGUAGCUGGUCUGAGAGGAUGACCAGCCACACUGGGACUGAGACACGGCCCAGACUCCUACGGGAGGCAGCAGUGGGGAAUAUUGGACAAUGGGCGCAAGCCUGAUCCAGCCAUGCCGCGUGAGUGAUGAA